GCCUGAGUGGCUCAGUUGGUGGAGGAUGUGAUUCUUGAUCCCAGGGUUGUGAGUUCAAGCCCCACCCUGGGUA
rnacentral:tRNA from 1 species